rnacentral:tRNA from 1 species
GGGUAUGGCUCAGUGGUAGAGUGCAUGCUUAGCAUGCAAGCGGUCCUGGGUUCAAUCCCCAGUACUUCCA